GAUGAACGCUGGCGGCGUGCUUAACACAUGCAAGUCGAACGGUGAAGCAGAGCUUGCUCUGUGGAUCAGUGGCGAACGGGUGAGUAACACGUGAGCAACCUGCCCUGGACUCUGGGAUAAGCGCUGGAAACGGCGUCUAAUACUGGAUACGAGACGUGGCCGCAUGGUCAACGUUUGGAAAGAUUUUUUGGUUCAGGAUGGGCUCGCGGCCUAUCAGCUUGUUGGUGAGGUAAUGGCUCACCAAGGCGUCGACGGGUAGCCGGCCUGAGAGGGUGACCGGCCACACUGGGACUGAGACACGGCCCAGACUCCUACGGGAGGCAGCAGUGGGGAAUAUUGCACAAUGGGCGAAAGCCUGAUGCAGCAACGCCGCGUGAGGGAUGACGGCCUUCGGGUUGUAAACCUCUUUUAGCAAGGAAGAAGCGAAAGUGACGGUACUUGCAGAAAAAGCGCCGGCUAACUACGUGCCAGCAGCCGCCGCAGUAA
rnacentral:rRNA from 1 species